GGCAAUUGCCUUCCCCUUAACUCCAAGAUCUAUACCAGCAUGUCAUUUCAUGCUUCAACAGCCCAUUAUUGCACAAUUGUAAACAAAAGCACCAGCUCGUUCCCUGACAGAGAGCACAUCCCAAUCCGCUCCAUCAACAUUUCCCUCCUCGGGGCACCAGGAGUGCAGCAAAACAACUUCGCCUUGAGGUCCUCUAUGUCCACCAAUCACUAGCAACUUGUCACCACAGGACUUGAAUGCAAGACCCCACCCAUUGUAAGAGUCCGCUCUAACGGGUAAUGGCCGUAUAAUAUUCCAAGUAUUAUU
rnacentral:misc_RNA from 1 species